rnacentral:rRNA from 1 species
AGUGAACGCUGGCGGCAGGCCUAAUACAUGCAAGUCGAACGGCAGCACAGCAGAGCUUGCUCUGUGGGUGGCGAGUGGCGGACGGGUGAGGAAUACGUGGGAAUCUGCCCAGUCGUGGGGGAUAACGUAGGGAAACUUACGCUAAUACCGCAUGCGCCCUUCGGGGAAAGCGGGGACCGUUCGGCCGUGGCGCGAUUGGAUGAGCCCACGUCGGAUUAGCUAGUUGGCGGGGUAAAGGGACCACCCAAGGCGACGAUCCGUAGCUGGUCUGAGAGGAUGAUCAGCCACACUGGAACUGAGACACGGUCCAGACUCCUACGGGAGGCAGCAGUAGGGAAUAUUGGACAAUGGGCGCAAGCCUGAUCCAGCCAUGCCGCGUGAGUGAAGAAGGCCCUCGGGUUGUAAAGCUCUUUUGUCCGGAAGAAAAGCGCCGGGUUAAUACCCUAGUGUCCUGACGGUACCGGAAGAAUAAGCACCGGCUAACUUCGUGCCAGCAGCCGCGGUAAAGU